CUGGAUUGUCAAAGAGUUUCAAAGAGAUCAGAGUGAGCAGAUUUUCAGGACCUGAGGAAGCCAGAAGAAAAAUAUUUUUGAAGGAGAUUUAAUUUACUGUAUCACCUGUUGAUAAGAAUUCUCAAAAAAAAAAAAAAAAAGAGAGCGAGAGAGACAGAGACAGAGAAAGAGAGAGAGACUUUGUCUUGCCUUGGAUUCGGUUGGAGGAGAGAGAUGAGAAAGAAAAGGAAAGGAGCAGGAGGAUCUGAAAAGAAAAAAUCAGUAAAUGAGGAAGAAUAAAAUGAAGAGAAGGCUGCUAUUCGCUUAACCGGGGGAGAAUAACAUGAGGUUCUGGAGAGAGACCGGAGGAGUUACAGCAAUGAGUUGAAGGAAAAAUCAAG
rnacentral:lncRNA from 1 species